CCUAAAUUUUUUGACUCGUACUUUGACUCAGUAUAAUUCGAUCAUCCUUCCACCCCAGGACCCGAGGACAGAGUUUUUACGUGAACUCUGCAAUCGCCACAGUCAUUUUUGGUAAUAAAUAAGCCAGGAAUAUACA